rnacentral:rRNA from 1 species
ACGCACGCUGGCGGCGUGCUUAACCCAUGCAAGUCGAACGGAAAGGCCCUGCUUUUGUGGGGUUCUCGAGUGGCGAACGGGUGAGUAACACGUGAGUAACCUGCCCUUGACUUUGGGAUAACUUCUGGAAACUGGGGCUAAUACCGGAUAGGAGCUCCUGCUGCAUGGUGGGGGUUGGAAAGUUUCGGCGGUUGGGGAUGGACUCUCGGCUUAUCAGCUUGUUGGUGGGGUAGUGGCUUACCAAGGCUUUGACGGGUAGCCGGCCUGAGAGGGUGACCGGCCACAUUGGGACUGAGAUACGGCCCAGACUCCUACGGGAGGCAGCAGUGGGGAAUAUUGCACAAUGGGCGGAAGCCUGAUGCAGCAACGCCGCGUGCGGGAUGACGGCCUUCGGGUUGUAAACCGCUUUCGCCUGUGACGAAGCGUGAGUGACGGUAAUGGGUAAAGAAGCACCGGCUAACUACGUG